rnacentral:rRNA from 1 species
UACGAAGGGUGCAAACGUUGCUCGGAAUUAUUGGGCGUAAAGCGCACGUAGGCGGCUUUGCAAGUCCCAUGUGAAAUCCCACGGCUCAACCGUGGUAGUGCAUGGGAAACUGCAGAGCUUGAGUACUUAAGAGGAUCGCGGAAUUCCCGGUGUAGAGGUGAAAUUCGUAGAUAUCGGGAGGAACACCAGUGGCGAAGGCGGCGAUCUGGGAAGAUACUGACGCUGAGGUGCGAAAGCGUGGGGAGCAAACAGG